rnacentral:rRNA from 1 species
UUAGGAGAACAAGGGAAAAAGGAUGUGUUGGUUAUUCCAAUUGCAUUUACUCAAGAUCAUUUAGAAACUUUAUAUGAGCUUGAUAAACUAUACAUACAAGAAUGCAAUGGAAAAGGAAUGAAUGUUAAGCGUACACCUGGGCCAAAUGAUAACCCAUUAUUCAUUAGUGCACUGGCAACCAUUGUAAAAGAACAUAUUUUACACCAAAAACAUAGUAAAAUACCAAGAUGUGUUCAUUGCAAGCAUCCGGAAGUAUGCAAGAGCCUAGAUAGAUUUAAUUAAAAUCUUAUUAUUUAAAAAAAA